AUUGAACGCUGGCGGCAUGCUUUACACAUGCAAGUCGAACGGUAACAGGGAGCUUGCUCCGCUGACGAGUGGCGAACGGGUGAGUAAUGCGUCGGAACGUGCCGAGUAGUGGGGGAUAACGCAUCGAAAGGUGUGCUAAUACCGCAUACGUACUGAGGUAGAAAGUGGGGGACCUUCGGGCCUCACGCUAUUCGAGCGGCCGACGUCUGAUUAGCUAGUUGGUGAGGUAAAGGCUCACCAAGGCGACGAUCAGUAGCGGGUCUGAGAGGAUGAGCCGCCACACUGGGACUGAGACACGGCCCAGACUCCUACGGGAGGCAGCAGUGGGGAAUUUAGGACAAGGGGCGCAAGCCUGAUCCAGCCAUGCCGCGUGUCUGAAGAAGGCCUUCGGGUUGUAAAGGACUUUUGUCCGGGAGCAAAUGCCUGGUGUUAAUAGCACUGGGAGCUGAGAGUACCGGAAGAAUAAGCACCGGCUAACUACGUGCCAGCCGCCGCCGUAACAC
rnacentral:rRNA from 1 species